rnacentral:tRNA from 1 species
AAGAAAGACAUAGAGGUUAUGGGGUUGGCUUGAAACCAAUUUAAGGGGGUUCGAAUCCUUCCUUUCUUA